rnacentral:tRNA from 1 species
GCCGCCUUAGCUCAGUUGGUUAGAGCGCUUGAUUGUGGAUCAAGAGGUCCCCCGUUCAAGCCGGGGAGGCGGUACCA